rnacentral:rRNA from 1 species
GACGAACGCUGGCGGCGUGCCUAAUACAUGCAAGUCGAACGCUGAAGGAGGAGCUUGCUCUUCUGGAUGAGUUGCGAACGGGUGAGUAACGCGUAGGUAACCCGCCUGGUAGCGGGGGAUAACUAUUGGAAACGAUAGCUAAUACCGCAUAACAGUAGAUGUUGCAUGACAUUUGCUUAAAAGGUGCAAUUGCACCACUACCAGAUGGACCUGCGUUGUAUUAGCUAGUUGGUGGGGUAACGGCUCACCAAGGCGACGAUACAUAGCCGACCUGAGAGGGGGAUCGGCCACACUGGGACUGAGACACGGCCCAGACUCCUACGGGAGGCAGCAGUAGGGAAUCUUCGGCAAUGGACGGAAGUCUGACCGAGCAACGCCGCGUGAGUGAAGAAGGUUUUCGGAUCGUAAAGCUCUGUUGUAAGAGAAGAACGAGUGUGAGAGUGGAAAGUUCACACUGUGACGGUAUCUUACCAGAAAGGGACGGCUAACUACGUG